UCACCUGAUGGGAGUGAAGAAAAAAAACCUUGAGAGAACCAAAUGUAAAUUAUUCUUAUGUUUUGAUAAUUUGCUGUAGGUUCUGGAGCUGAAAACAGACAUGUUGAGGCUGGUGAUGAAGUGUGUUAUGCUUCAUUAGACAUGCCUUCCACACAGCAACAAAGGCAGAGGAAUGAAAGAGCUCAGAGUUCAGACUUCAGUAUUUAUUCUAAUGUCAGAACCAGCAGAAUGUAAAGUAGAGUAAACUAAAGUCAUUGUUCUUUAGUAGAAAUAUGAUUCAAAAGAGAGUUAAUGGCAAUGUUCUGGCAUCUGCAUCCUAUUUUCAUUGAUUCUAAUAUUGUAAGUUUUUAAUGAUUAAAAAUGUAAAUACAUUUAA